UAGCCUAGUGGUAAGGCUAUGGAUUGCCAAUCCGGAGACGACGGGUUUGAUUCCCGU
rnacentral:tRNA from 1 species